rnacentral:rRNA from 1 species
GAUGAACGCUGGCGGCGUGCUUAACACAUGCAAGUCGAACGGAAAGGCUCCUGCUUGCAGGGGUACUCGAGUGGCGAACGGGUGAGUAACACGUGGGUGAUCUGCCCUGCACUUCGGGAUAAGCCUGGGAAACUGGGUCUAAUACCGGAUAGGACGAUGGUUUGGAUGCCAUUGUGGACAGUUUUUCGGUGUGGGAUGAGCUCGCGGCCUAUCAGCUUGUUGGUGGGGUAAUGGCCUACCAAGGCGUCGACGGGUAGCCGGCCUGAGAGGGUGUACGGCCACAUUGAGACUGAGAUACGGCCCAGACUCAUACGGGAGGCAGCAGUGGGGAAUAUUGAACAAUGGGCGCAAGCCUGAUGCAGCGCCGCCGAGUGGGGGAUGACGGCCUUCGGGUUGUAAACUCCUUUCGCUAGGGACGAAGCGUUUUGUGACGGUACCUGGAGAAGAAGCACCGGCUAACUACGUG